rnacentral:misc_RNA from 1 species
UCUCCGUAGGUGAACCUGCGGAGGGAUCAUUACUGAGUGAGGGCCUUCGGGCUCGACCUCCAACCCUUUGUGAACACAACUUGUUGCUUCGGGGGCGACCCUGCCGUUUCGACGGCGAGCGCCCCCGGUGGACCACCCAACCCUGCAUCGUUGCGUCUGAGUCGAAAUAUAAAUCAAUCAAAACUUUCAACAACGGAUCUCUUGGUUCUGGCAUCGAUGAAGAACGCAGC